rnacentral:tRNA from 1 species
UGCCUGGUAGUGUAAUGGUAGCACAAAUGAUUCUGGUUCAUUUAGUUGGGGUUCGAGUCCCUGCCGGGCAA